GUUGGCUUAGUGGUAUGAGCGUCCGCCUGGGAUGCGGGAGGUCGUAGGUUCGAUCCGAGUCAUACCAAAGACU